rnacentral:lncRNA from 1 species
GAGAACGAACUAGUGGUUACCAGUGGAGAAAGGGAAAUGGGAGGGGCCAUAUAAGGGUAGGGGAUUAAGAGUUACAAACAAUUAAGUAGAAGAUAAGCUACAAGGAUAUAUUAUACAAUACAUGGAAUGUAGCAAAUAUUUUAUAACUAUAAAUGAAGUAUAACUUUUUAAAGUUGUGAAUCACUAUUGUAGUCCUCUGACAUGUAAUACUGUACAGCAACUAGACUUCAAUAAAAUUUAAAAUAUUUAAAAAAAACAAAACCCUGACCGCCAAAAUAGACAAACAUAGCAUAAAACAAUCAAUGAUUGUGCAGCUGGGAAUAUACUAUAAACCAUUGAACUGUAUGUUUUUUUCUUUUCUGUUUUUGGUUCCCCUGUGGCUCAGCAGUAACGAACCCCGACUGGUAAUCAUGAGGGUGUGUGUUCGAUCCCUGGCCUCAAUCAGUGGGUUAAGGAUCUGGCGUUGCCAGGAGCUGUGGUGUAGCAUCAUCUUCCAAAGUUUCACUUUAAUUCUUAGACUUUUUUUUGGCCGCACCCAUCAUAGCAUGUGGAUGUUCCUGGUCCAGGGAUCUAACCCACGCCACAGUUGUAGCCUGUGGCUGUGGCAAAUCCAGAUCCUUAACCUGCUGUGCCACAAGGGAACUUCCUGAUUCUUAGACUUUCGAUCACUAGAAACCUGAAAUUUACUGACAAGGAUUUAGAACUACCCACAAGCUAUAUUUUUUAGGAAAAAGCGUAGACCAUAGAAUGUUGGCCAUCAUUUUUUUUUCCUUUUGCUUUUAUUUUAUUUUUUAAUUUUUUUAAUUUAAUUUAAUUUUUUNNNNNNNNNNNNNNNNNNNNNNNNCUUUUUAGAGCCACACCCAUGGCAGAUGGAAGUUCUCAGGCCAGGGGUCAAAUCAGAGCUGCAGUUGCAGACCUACACCACAGCCACAGCAAUGUGGGAUCCGAGCCGCAUCUGUGACCUACACCGCAGCUCACAGCAAACCAGAUCCUUAACCCAAUGAGCAAGGCCAGGGAUUGCACCUAAAUCGUUAUAGAUACUAGUAGGGUUCUUAACCUGCUGAUCCACAACAGGAACUCCCCAUCAUGUUUUUUUUUUUUAACAAGAAAAUAUGUACUUAAAAUGCUUGUCCAUACACAGACUCUUCUAGAAGGAUGCACAAGAGACUGGCCAUGAUGGUUACUUUCAGGCUUGCAGAGCAGGGGGAGCUCAGGCUAGGAGGGGGCGGGGCUUAUGUUACACCUCAAAUGCCUCUGACUUUUUUUUUCUGUCUUCGUAGGGCUGCAUUCAAGGCAUAUGGAAAUUCCCAGGCUGGGGGUCAAAUCAGAGCCGCAGCUGCUGGUCUACACCACAGCCACAGCAACACCGGAUCUUUAACCCACUGAUUGAGGCCAGGGAUCAAACCUGCCUCUUCAUGGGUACUAGUCAGAUUUAUUACCACUGAGCUACAAUGGGAACUCCUGACUUCUUUUUUUUUUUUUUAAUUAUAGUUGAUUUACAAUGUUGUGUCAAUUUCUGCUGUACAACAAAUGACCCAGUUAUACAUGUACAUACAUUCUUUUUCUCAUAAAAUCUUCCACCAGAAACCCCUAUCAAUGUCCCACUUUUAUGCCCCCAGAUAAUUAACAGUUGAAAAGAAAAUCUCCAAUGAGGUAUUCAGACUUAAAAGGCAGGCAAUCUGAAAUGUUUCUAACAUAUGACAAAGCUUUAUGAAUUUUAAAAAACUGUUGAAAGGAAACCUGUACUUAUUAUAGAAAUAUUUCUUUUCAUGGUAAUGGAGGCUGAAGUUAGGCUGUUAAUUUGCAAGCUAACUGGUGUUUUCUUUUUAAAAAAAUUUUUUAAGCUUUUUGACCAUGCCCAUGGCAUGCGAAAGUUCCCAGGCCAGGGAUCAAACCUGAGUCACAGAAGUGACAGCACCAGAUACUUAACCUCCAGGCCACCAGGAAACUCCCAAACUGGUGUUUUCUGUAUUGAAGUAUGACAGGCAAGAAUGUCUGAAGGUGCAGCGUCACAAACCAGCAUCCUUGGGUUCCUACCAGCUAUAACCUGGGCCAUUUGAUGUCUUAGUUUCCUCUCUCAAAGACACAGUCAUGAUAACAAUACUUCCCUCCUUGUAUUGUCAUGGAGAUUACAUAAAACAUGGAAAGCACUUAGUGCUUGGAAUAUAGAAAAUACUAUAAACUGGGUCACUUUGCUGUACAGUGGAAAUUGACCCAACAUAGUAAAUCAACUAUAAUUUUAAAAAAAGAAAAUACUAUAAUAAACAUUAGGGGGUUUUGAACGAGUUUUGAUACUUCAUUAAUAACUAAAGCCCAUAGUUUCCUUUCUUUUUUUUUUAUUGGAGUAGAAUUGAUAUACAACAUUGUAUUAGUUUCAAGUGUACAGCAAAGCAAUUUAGUUAUACAUGUGUAUUAUUUUUUAUAUUCUUUUCCACUAUGGUUUAUCACAGGGGAUUGGAUAGAGCUCCCUGUGCUGCGGAGUAGGACCUCGUUGUUUAUCUGUCCUAUAUAUAGACAUGUACUAGUUCGCAUCUGCUAACCCAAACUCCCAAGCCAUUCCUCCCCACCCCCGCCCUUGGCAACCACAUGUCUGUUCUCUAUGUCUGUGAGUCUGUUCCUGUUUUGUAGAUAAGUUCACUUGUGUCAUAUUUUAGAUUCCACAUAUAAGUGAGAUCAUGUGACAUUUGUCUGAUUUAUGUCACUUUGUAUGAUCAUCUCUAGGUUCACCCAUGUGGCUGCAAAUAGCAUUAUUUUAUUUUCUUGAGUUCACCCUUGGUGAAACUUCUGUGUUGUGCCUCCAUGGAUUUUGAUCAAAGCAUGAUGACAUGUAUCCACCAUCAUAGCAUCAUACAGAAUAGUUUUACUGCCCGAAAAAUCCUCUGUGCUCUGUUUAGUAACCCCUGAUUUUUUUUGCUGCCUCCAGAGUUUUGCCUUUCCCAGAAUGUCGUAGAGUUGGAAUCAAACAUUGUGUAGCCUUUUCAGAUCAGCUUCUUUCACUUAGGAACAUGCACUUAAGGUUUCUCCAUGUCUUUGCCUGGCUGAUAGCUUAUUUCUUUUGACCACAUACUUUUUAACAUGUAUGUAGGUAUGUAUGUACAUAUGUGUGUAUGUAUGUACGUAUGUAUGUAUGUAUGUAUGUAUGUAUUGGCCACCCCAAGGCAUAUAGAGUUCGCAGGCCAGGGAUCAGGUACAAGCCAUACUAUGCCACAGCUGUGGCAACACCAGACCCUUUAACCCGCUGUAUUGGGGCCAGGGAUUGAACCUACAUCCCAGUGCUCCAGAGAUGCCAUUGAUCCUGUUGUGAUACAGCGGGAAUGCUCUGUUUCACAGACUUCUAUAUGCUGGGUCCUCAGGAGUGAUUCCAAGAUAGAAACCCCUUCCUUGCUCUGUGGGAGGGGUCCCCAGGGGUCCUGAAGGUGGCAGAGGCCACAUGGAGACUGAGAGCAGUGACGAUCUAGAAACCAGUCGAGGAGAUUUUCAGUGAUCUAUCAGCCAGUCAGGGCAUUGAGCAUGUAGCAGCCCUGGCUCUCUUGCUUUCCUCAUUUCAGGAUCCAUCCUGGAUCCCUCCACAUCAGUAGGCAGAGGACCUGUUCACCGCUUUCUCUACCUGUGUCAUGUCUGCAGCCCAGGGUGCAUGUCCAGCUAGGAACGAUGUCAUUCAGAAGAAGGGUCACAGGCCCGCUAGGGCAACAUGGCCCCCAGGUGGUCUGUGCCAACAGGGAAAUACAGGGCAGAGUCAGGGAGUAGGCAUUGCAUCCUGUUCCCCUGUCAGGAUCUCUCUGCCUCUUCUCUUCUUACUGAGGAACUUCUGAUAAGACUGAAAAGGAGGGCAUUGUUAUUGCAGUAUUGUAUUCACAGUGCUUCUGGAGUAGUUACUUCAUGCCUCAGUGAUAUAUUAGUAUGUGUAAUCAUUAUUCCUAGAACCUUAUUUAUGUGUUUAAUAUCCAUUUGUAUGUAUGCUAUAUUUACAACCAAAAAGAAAAAUGAGGUAAAAAAUAUUUUUAAAGAUUAAUGUGUGUGUGGCUCUUUGUGGUUAACAGGAACCAACACCUCCAUUGCCAAAGGAAUGAAUCACUAAUGGUGGAUUUUCUAAAUAAGGGUGGAAGAAGUAAUAGCAUUUUCAGUUUCCUCCCUUGGCCCUGGCUCACUGAUCCCAACAUGUGGGUCACCCUCAGCAUCAGUGUGCAUCUUCAGGAUCAGGCAGAGCUAGAUGUGCAAGAGACUAAUCAGAGGAAAGAAUAAAGUAGAGAGGGAGUGGGAGUUAGCAGGGCGAGCUUCAGAAUGUGAUGUGGGUCUGAUCCCUGUGAAAGGAGAAGGGUGGGGACAAAGAGAAGACAGGAGGACCCUGCCUGCAGCAAAGCUCAGAAUCCUCUAGCAGUUGAGCAGACGGAAAGCUUACACUAGGUGGAAAUGACCACCUUUUGCUGUCACCAUGCUCAGACACUGGCUGGCAGAUGCUGGGGGCCAUGUAAGGCAGAAGCUGUCAGCAAAGACAUUCCUUAUGGUGGGUUCCCAAUGAAGGGGGAUCUGAACAGUGCUCCUCACGGCUGCUGUGCAUCUAUUCUGCUGCCCUCAUCUCUACCUUUCUAGACUGUAAGGUAGAGAGUGGUCGAUAGCUUUAUUGAGUGUCUGCUGUAUGCAUGCAGAAGCCUCAGACUGCCCAUAUAUUCACUCAUUUACUCAAGCCAUGAAGCCGGUACUAUUAUCCUACCCCCAUUUCGCAGAUAAGGGAAUCAAGGCACAGAGAGGUUAAGUGAUUUGCCCAAAGUCACACAGCCAGUGAGUGAAGGAGCUGGAAUAAUGUAAAACCAGAACAUCUGGAUCCAGAGCCUAAUGACCCUAGACAACCUUGGGAUUUAUCCAGAAGGAAAAACAUGCACAGGCCCCUUCAGGCCAGAAGAGUCUCACCGCCCUGUAGAAAUUCUGAACAAGUUCUACUGGUUUCUUCUAACCCAGAUGUGGUUUCAUUGCCCUUAUUUAAAAGGAGUUAGUUCCAUUUACACAUAGUGAUGAUAGUUUUCCAUCUCUGAUAGUAGCACAAAGUUUUUUUUAAGUGAAAAGGAAUUGAUUCUUAAAGUCUAGUUAUUAACGGGCAGGCUGGGAGUUCCCGCUGUGGUGCAGUGGGUUAAGAAUCCAACUGCAGCAGCUCAGGUCCCUGCUGAGGCGAGGGUUCGAUCCUGGCUGGUGCAAUAGGUUAAAGGAUCAGGCAUUGCUGUAGCUGCAGCUUCCAUUCAAUCCCUGGUCCAGAAAUUUCCAUAUGCCUUGGGAGGGGGAGGGCAGCUACCUUGAUCCACAGACUUCAUCACCUGCGUGGGAGGGUGCAUGCGGUUUAUGAAUCACAACCAGAAAACCAGUUCUUUCCCUGUAUUUUUGUAGGCAUCUUUUGUAUUUACUCAUUCUCAUUUAUAACCAGAAAGUUGCCAAAGGACUUGGAUUGCAGUCAGCAUCUUUCCUCCAAUUUCUCACUAUCAAUACAAAUGCUGUUCUCCCCAGAGUAUCACUUUCCUGAUAAAUGGAUGGAGGGAUUGCGCUGCUCUGGCUUAGGGAGAAAAACAGCAUGAAGUAAUGAAAUGAGCAAGGACGCCAGGGCCGGGAAAACCUUUGGGUCGGAUCCCAUAUCUGCAACGUAGUGGCUGACAUUGGAAAACGUGUGUAAUUCUUCAUGGCCGUGAGGACUUCCUCCCUCAGACAAUUCUCUCAUCUGGGUUUGGAGGCUGCUUGCAUCACUGAUUCUCUCCCUCUGGCAAUUCUGCCUUUUCAGAGGUUGCAAAUCCAAGGGCUGGUGACGAGACAACAGGGGAUGGUGGGGACCUUGUGAACAGGAGAAUCCUAGGGAUGGUAGGAGAGUGGAAGUGGCUUGUAGCAGCCAGCAGGACCCAUUUUUGCUUGUCUCUUCCCAAAUCUGCAUUCAGUGACUUUAAGUUGGUAGCAUGAAAUUAGGAGCAUUUCUAUUAAAACAUGCUGUAAAUGAGGCUAGUCUUUAUUUUACAGAGAGCUGGUGGUUACAUUUACCAGCAAACCAUUGCCCAGGGAAAGCCACUUCUCAGAUGACCAUUGCCUUGAGGGGAUGUGACUCAGUGUUGACAGAUUAUUAGUCUUCCAGGGACAGAGGUCUGGCUCUGUCAUCUUCUGGCUGACAUAAAUAUGUUCAAGACAAACAAACCAUGUCUCAAUUUCCCCAUCUAUAAAUUGGGGAUAGUAAUCAUUCUUACCCGGAGGCAGAGCUGUCAUGAAACCAAUGCAUCUUAAGCUUGAGGUCCCUUCCCUUCCCCAGACUCCUUUCCAAGACCUAGCACAGACUGUAGAAAUGUUGUGUCCUUGAUUUGUACUGUUUAGUAAUGAGGGCCCCAGAUCGUCUAGAAUUUCUGGCACAAAGGGGGAUGUGGUGAAGCAAAGUGCUGAACAGGUAGGGUAUGGGAAACUGGGACAAGGAUGCUGCACUCCUGAGACACCCCCAUGAGAGCCCAGAAAGAGGGCUCCCUUAGGGCAGGCGACACAGCCAAGCCUGGAGCUAGGCUGAUGCCCAUCCUAGGGCCUGAGAACAGAGAAUUGGUUCAAAGUCAGCUUUACAUUUUCCAAGUGUAUUUUCUUGUUUUGGUUUGCACAACAAACCACAGUGCUGUGGGUUGACUGGGCCCAGUGAGGCAGUUUCCAUUUGAUGACCUCAUGUUGUUGCCAUCAGGGAGGUGCCUGGAAGGAGUUAUCUGAACAUUGAACUGUGCUGACAUCCAAGAUGGCGCACCCAUGCACAUGGCAACAGAUGUAGGUGGUUAGCUCGGAGCCCAGUGUGAGCUGUCGACUGGAGGGUCCACAGGCGACCUUCCCUCUGGCCUGGACUUCCUAGGACAUUGCACAUGGGUUCUGAGAGGGGGUAUCUUAAGGGCAAGAGUUCCAAGAAUCCCAGGUGGAAGGCUUCUCACAAUCUGGUGUCAGACAUCACAGGUGGCCACUUGCGUUGCAUUCUCUUGGUCCUUGAGGCCAAUCCAGAUUCAAGAAGAGGAAGUAAAGCUCCACCUCUUCAAUGGGACACGGCAAGGCCCCCAUGGAGAAAGAGCACGUGAGCUGGGAGAGAUAGUGGUGGCCACCUUUGAAAAUACAGUUUGCCACGUUCUUUCAUUUUUUUGAGUCCUAAAGUUCUCAACCCCUGAAAAAGGCAAUGUCGUCACACUAGCCUCACAGGACUGCUGGGAAGAGCAAAAGGAGAUGGUAGAAUCCUCAGGGCAGGCUUCUCCAUAUGUAAAACCUGCAUUAGAGCACGGGGAUUAUGCACAAGGACACUCAUCACUGCAUGGUUUUCAAAAGCCAAAGAUGGAAACAUGUAAAUGUCUCUUCAUUGAUAUAGUUCCCUCCUCUGUAAAAUGGAGAUAGUUCUACCAGGUGGGGCAGAGGGUUUUGUGCUCUUCAAAAAAACCAUUUAAGAAAUGAUUCCCAACAGUCUUAAGUGAGGGUGACUUUGCAGCCCAGGGGAUGUUUGACAAUGUGUGGAAACAAGUUUUUGUUUUAUUAUUAUUAUUACAGCUGAUUUACAAUGUUAUGUCAAUUUCUGAUAUACAGCAAAGUGACCCAGUUAUACAUACAUAUGUGUGGGUGUGUGUGUGUGUAUUGGAUUGGAUGUAUAGUUCCCUAUUCUAUACAGCGGGAUCUUAUUGCUUAUCCACUUCAAAUGCAUUAGUUUGCAUCUACUAACCCCGCACUCCCAGUCCAUCCCACUCCCUCCCCUUUCCCAUUGUCCCACAAGUCUGUUCUCCAUGUCCAUGAGUUUGUUUCCUUCCUGUAGACAGGUUCAUUUGUGCCACACAUUAGAUUCCAGACGUAAGUGAUAUCAUAUAGUAUUUUUCUUUCUCUUUCUGACCUAUUUCACUUAGUAUGAGAAUCUCUAGUUCCAUCCAUGUUGCUGCAAAUGGAAUUAUUUUGUUCUUUUUAUGGCCAAGUAGUAUUCCAUUGUGUACAUGUACCACAUCGUCUUAAUCCAUUCAUCUGUUGAUGGACAUAUUUAGGUUGUUUCCACGUAUUGGCUAUUGUAAAUAGUGCUGCAGUGAACAUAGGGAGGCAUGUAUCUUUUUGAAUGAAAGUUUUGUCCAGACAUAUGCCCAGAAGUGGGAUUGCUGGAUCAUAUGGUAGUUUUAUAUUUAGUUUUCUGAGGGACCUCC